rnacentral:rRNA from 1 species
GUAAUAAGUGCCUCUUAAUUGGGGGCUAGAAUGAAGGGUUUGACGUAAAAAAGUUUGUCUCCAAAAUAAAAGUAUGAAGUUUUCUUUUCAGUGAAAAGUCUGAUAUAAUGGUAAAAGACGAGAAGACCCUGUCGAGCUUGAUAAAACAUACAAAAAAUAGUGUAUUAAUAAGUUUAGCUGGGGCAGUUCGGAACAAAAAAAAGUUUCGUUUAUAUAAUAGAGAUCCGACUCAUGUCGAAUGAAGAAAAAGCUACCGCAGGGAUAACAGCGCUAUUCCUCUUGAGAGGACUAAUUGAAGGGGGAGAUU